GACGGAGCACGCCGCGUGAGUGAUGAAGGUCUUCGGAUCGUAAAACUCUGUUAUUAGGGAAGAACAUACGUGUAAGUAACUGUGCACGUCUUGACGGUACCUAAUCAGAAAGCCACGGCUAACUACGUGCCAGCAGCCGCGGUAAUACGUAGGUGGCAAGCGUUAUCCGGAAUUAUUGGGCGUAAAGCGCGCGUAGGCGGUUUUUUAAGUCUGAUGUGAAAGCCCACGGCUCAACCGUGGAGGGUCAUUGGAAACUGGAAAACUUGAGUGCAGAAGAGGAAAGUGGAAUUCCAUGUGUAGCGGUGAAAUGCGCAGAGAUAUGGAGGAACACCAGUGGCGAAGGCGACUUUCUGGUCUGUAACUGACGCUGAUGUGCGAAAGCGUGGGGAUCAAACAGGAUUAGAUACCCUGGUAGUCCACGCCGUAAACGAUGAGUGCUAAGUGUUAGGGGGUUUCCGCCCCUUAGUGCUGCAGCUAACGCAUUAAGCACUCCGCCUGGGGAGUACGACCGCAAGGUUGAAACUCAAAGAACUG
rnacentral:rRNA from 1 species